rnacentral:lncRNA from 1 species
AGUGUGUGGCUGUUUUGUGUUGUGUAGGGCAACCGGUAUGUAACUAUUAAAUUCCAUGAAUAAACAAAAAUGGGCAUUUUUUGUCAACCGUCUAGAAAAUAAUGGACACAAUCGAUCUGCAAAGAAGAUAUUUUUUGUGCUCUCUUUUUGUUUUUUUCCUUGUUUUUUUUUUUCCGUCUAGUGAUAUUAUUUUUUUCCUUGAUAUUUUAAGUGCUUCUGUGGUUUUUUUCAACAAUCUUCAUGAUUUUAUUUUUAUUGAUAUUUGAAUAUCCUCUAUAUGUGUUUUUUUCCUCGACACAACUAUUCCUAUAAGGCUUAACAUUUCAACGAUUAUGGUUUCAAGUAUCCAACAACUUGAUAUAAUGAUAACUCUCGUUGGAGUGUUA